rnacentral:lncRNA from 1 species
AAGAUUGUAAUGGAGGGAAAACAGCAGUAGUAAUUUCUCCAAUACAUAAAGUGUAAUCUCUUUCUAUCAUCGAGAGGUAGUUAUGAACAUGUUUACAUAUAAACCAGGGAACAAAAGGAACUAAUUUAUUAAUUUUUGAAUCCACCAUAUCUUUAUAAAAUUCUUCUUGGAAUUCAUAUUGAUCUUUUCUAUCAAAAUUCUUGAAAAACCAUUUUCUAAAUAGUUUCCAUUUUUUCCUUUGAAAAUCUUUAGCUAUUUUAGCUCUUGCCGAAGAACCCGGACUAAAAUCAAUAUGAGUGUCAGGCAUCAUAAACAAGUUUUAAGUAUCUAAUCCAUCCGGAAAAUUCAUUUCAGAUUCCGUUAUAUCUAAAUCUGAGCUAGGUCUGGGAACAAGUCUAGCAAUAUUGUCGCUAUCAAUUUUAAUAUUAUCACAUCUAUAAGUUUCUCUAAUUUGAGAAGUAGAUGCUCUACAAGGGAUUUGCAUAAUAUAAUCAACAGGCGAAAUAUAAGAAGCAUUUGAUCUAGUAAUUCUAGAAGAUGUACUAUGGUUAUCAAUAAGCAUAUUAGCUGGUUCUGAAAAUUUAAUUUUUACAGUUCCAUCAUUUAACUGUUCCAUUUCAGAAACAUCAGAAUUAAUAUUAUGCCUAGGUUGGGUAGCGUUUUCAAUAACCCAUUCUCGUGGAAAAUCAAUUUCUUCCCACUUAAUAGGUCUUCUAGUGACUACCUUAGAUUUAUCAAAAUUAGUUUCUAUUAAAAUAGUUUCAUUUUUAAAAUCAAUUGCCUUACACAUGGGAUUCAAGGUAUGUAAUAACUUAUAAUAAAUUCUAUAACAAAUACAAACAACUUCAGUACCAGGCAUAUAAUCAUAACCAUGAAGUUUAACAUUUAACAUAAGAGCACUUAAAGAAUUAUCAUCUUGCAAAGAUAUUUGUAAAUUAGGAUAAGCAUUGAAAUAGACUGGUCCAUAAGCAAGACUAGUUUGAAUCGUCCCUAUAAGAGAUUUUUUCCAAUUAUGAUUUCUACCAUCACGUAAAGCUGCUAUAAAGCUUUCUGGUAAACCUCUUAAAGUAAGGGGCUUGAAAGCCACCUGUACUAGGCCGAUAUGCAAAAAAUGAUAAAUAUCCCUAUAAGGGGCCAAAUCAUUAUCAGAUAAUAAUCUAAAAGUCUGAUUAUCACUAUCAAUAGUAAUAGUUUCCUCUGUGGUUUUAACCACCUGUUUGAGACCUAAUUUCUCAAAAGUACCCAUUUGAUAUAUGAUUCUGGGCGAUAUUUUCGGAAUAGUCCACUUAUUAAGUAGAUCUAGGUGUUGUGGUAUAUCAUAUUCUUCUUUUCUACUGUUUUUAACAGUAGAUUUCUUCUUUAUGAUGUUCAUCGAAACAAACUGUGCUGAACAGUAACACCUAUAGUUACUAUAAGUCCAUGACUCUGAUACCAAAUUCAAUACUCCUAUUAAUAGGACUAAUCUUUCCUUUUUCAAUAUUAUGACCAAGGAAUCUAACAUUUGUUUUAAACAAAGCCAUUUAAAAGAAAAAGAAUAGGCCCAGUUGAUAAGGAGAUUACUUUAAUAAAGAUGUCGGCCACUAAUAAUAAGGCCAAACUACUUUAUAUAGAGGCCAUGUGAGCUUGUCGGCCUAUUUUAUUUAGGAACGGCCAUUUGUAAAGUUGUGGGCCAAUUUACUUUUUACUUUUGUUUGUUUCGAUUCCUUCCACUACUAUAUAAUGGAAGGAGGUGUGUUGUAUUAGAGGCAGGUUUUGAUACCCUCCAUCUCUCUUUCUCUUUGUAAUAUUUCCAGUUUUUAAAUUUGAAUAAAAGUGUGCAAUUUGGUUUGAAGAUUCAUCUCCGAGGUACUAUUUUUUCUUACUUAUUAUUUCUUUGUGUUUAUUUGUGUCUGCCCAUGAUGGGCUAAACUGUUUGUGUUGAACUGUAGCAUACUAAGUUACUAUAUGGCAUACUCUUACUAUGUUUAAAAUAGCUUGAAGAGUCCAAUAUGAAGGUCAAAUAUAGAUAAUCCAGGCAUCAUGAAGAAUCGCUGAAGAAAUCCGUUGGAUUACCCAUGGGAGGGCGGACCCGGAUAGUAAGGAUUUGUAUGAUUUGCCAGGAUUGCUAUAUUAUUAAAGGCUCCUUAAUAUUGGGUUGUGAGAUCCGUUUUGAAUCUGUUUUGAAUUUGAUUAAUAGGACUAAUCUUUCCUUUUUCAAUAUUAUGACCAAGGAAUCUAACAUUUGUUUUAAACAAAGCCAUUUUGGGUUGAGAUAAAACUAACCCAUUUUGAAUAAUUAUUUUUUUAAAUAAUUCUAAGUGUUUAAAAUGAGUUUCUAUAUUCUUAGAAAAUACUAAGAUAUCAUCUAUGUAAACUAUUAUAAAAUUGCUAUAAGGAAUAAAUAUAUCAUUCAUAAUUUUCUGAAAUUCUGAAGGAGCAUUCUUUAAGCCAAAUGGCAUAACAUUCCAUUCAAAUUGUCCCAUUGGCACAUUAAAAGCGGUUUUAAACCUGUCUGAUUCAGCUAUUUGAAUCUGCCAAUAACCUGAUUUUAAAUCAAAUUUAGAAAAUAUAAUAGCAUCAUAAACUCUAUCUAAUAAAUCCUUUUUAUUAGGAAUAGGAUACCUAAUCCACCUUAACGCUUUAUUAAGCGGCUUAUAAUUAAUCACCAAUCGGGGUGCUCCUCUCUCCUGUUCAGCAUGUUUAUUAACAUAGAAUGCUGUGCAGGACCAUGGUGAUUUGAAUUGCCUUAUCAAGCCUUUCUGUAGUAAAGAGCUAAUUUCUUUUUUACAUAACUCUAAAUAUUCAGAGUUCAUCUGACAAGGCCUUGCUUUUGUAGGAAUAUUAUCCUCAUCAAAAUCAUCCUCAUAUGGAAGACUCACAACAUGCUUCUUUCUAUUCCAGAAGGCAUUAAGAUGGUCUCCACAGAUCUCAAGGGAGAAUUAAUUGGUUAAGAAACUAAUCUUUUCUUGUAAUUUAGGAUUCUGUAAAAUAUUACUAAUUUCAAUACUAUUAAUUUCUUGUUUUAGAAAAUUUACUUGAUUAUUCUUUGAAAUCAAUAAUUUUCCCGUUAAGUCAUUAAUCAUUCUAGUAAAUGGUUUUGUCACAAACUCGAGUAUAAAAGGUUUGUUAUUCCAAGUCCCUAUAACUUUAUUAUUAUCCCAAUGGGUAAGUGGGAAAGGGAAAAUAUCAUUUAUAAAUGGGACACCUAAAAUAAUUUGAUUGGUGAUAUUUUUUACUAAAACAAAGCUUUGAGGAACACAACUCUUACCUUUACAAAUAAAAGCUUUGGGUAAUUUAAAAUCAAUAUUCAUUUUACUACCAUUAGCAGAACGAAGGCUAUGAGUAGUUUUAUGAAAAUAUCUUGAAGGUAUAAGUCCUUCUUGAAUACAAUUUAAAUCGGCUGCACUAUCUAUAAGAGCAAUAAAUUCUUUUUUAUAAUUAUAAUCUAUCAAGAGAGUUAUUUUAGUAUAAAACUUUUGUGAAGUAAAAGCUUUAAGACUGUAUAAAAAGUCUGUCUUAUUAUUUUUUAAACAAAGAUUUUUCAUAAAAUCAAGACUAUUAGUCUCUUCUUCCAUUGAGGAAGAUGAUUCAGAAACAUUUUCUAAAUCUAAACGAGUUUGAAGAGCAUCCAUUCUGACUUCCAUGACUACAUUCUUUUCUUUAAGACGAAUGAUGUCUUCCUUGAGAUUAUUAAUCUCCUCUUUAAGAUCAUUAAUUGUAGUAGGAGAGCUAAUUAACUUUCUCCUUUCCAUUAAGAGAUUUUUAACCUCUGUCAUGGUGUAUGAACCCUCUUUGGUUCGGAUUUCUUCAGAGAUAUGAUCUUUAUUCUUAGUAGUAGAAGUACCACUAUUUUUUUCAAUAAUUUGAGCUCUAAUGUCUGGAUCUUUAAUACUUUGUAAGAGUUCCAGUACUUGAUCAUUAUCAAUGACAUUGAGGCUCAAUUCCUUAAAUUGGUCAUAGAUCUUAUAAAGAUCAUCUUCAUCAUCUUUAUCACAUGUCAUUCCUUGUUGGCAAGGUGAACACUCGUCUUCUGAUAUCAUGAAAUUUUCUUGUUGAAGAGCUUUAAGAUCUUCACUUGUUGAGGACCUACUGCUAUCUUCUUCUGAUUCUGAUAUAUUCGAACCAGAAUUAAGCAUAAUUUUAUAAAGGGAAUCCUUUAUAUUAUCAUCUAUGUCAAGGCUUUUAAUCUUUUCCUUGACACGGCAGUCUUUGGCAUAAUGGCCAAAUCUUCCACAUCUGUGGCAAGUAUCUGAUUUUCGAUACUUUUUCCUUCUCUUAGAAGACUCUCCCUUACCUUCUUCAGCCCGUCUAAGCUUUUUUUCUAUUUUCUUUUUCUUACAUUUCUCAUAAUCUUUUAUGGAAGACUUUUUCUUUUUAUUAGGAGUAUAUUCCUUGUCUUUAGACUUUUGCUUAGGAAUAUCGAAUGCGAAUUGUUCGCAGAAUUCUUCUAACUGCUUCCUUUCAUUUAGGCGAUGACGCUUAAUCUGCUGAUUUAGCUUAAUUUCAUUGCACAAGGAAAGUCCUUCCUGUACACAGGCACUUAUAAGUUUACCAUAUGUAAAAUUAUCAUAAUUGAUACUUGGGUUAUCACCCCUGAUUGCUUUCCUAACUCUUUCAGCAAAUAAACUGGGCAGUCCAUCAAUAAACUUGGACUUCCAAUGAGCGCUAUUACACUCCGGUAGUUCCAUCGCUCUACAUAAGAAUACGUCUUUAUAAAAUCUAAAGGAUGUAAGAGUUUUACAUCUUAGAUUUUGGAGUAGAGUUCUAAUGGUCUCACUAUUAUCUGACCAUCUACCUGAGAAAUGUUCUAUAAUAUUUAGAACAAGUGUAUAAACUGCAUUCUGAGAGAUACCUUCUCCUUCUUGUUUUACUGCCAUCAUAACUUUAUCUCUUUAGUCUUGGUUGAGAUAAUUAUCCCACCAACCCUUUAAUUGACCAGUAAAACCAGCAGUUAUCAUAUCAGCAAUAGUUUUAUCACUGUUUUUAUUAGCUUUACAGAUAGUACUGUACAUAAGCAUUCUAUGAACAGUUGUAUAUAUCUGUCGGUCGGUAUAACCAUCUAUAUUCCAUUCAUAGAUUUCUUUUCCACUAUAACUAUUAGUUAUAAUGUGUUCAUGUUCUUCUAACAAAACAUCUUGAGGAGUAGGUCUAGGAUAAUAGAACAUCCUUUGGACCGGUUUCCUAGCAUAUUUUUCUGAUAUUUUAUUAAUAUCAGUAGCUAACUUGUUAUUAACAUAACUAGGUUCUCCAACCGAGAGGUUUUCCAAAUCAAUAGGCUGUACUCCACCUUUGAAUUUCUUUUCUAAGAAGUUUUCAAGAUCUGAGUAAUCCUUGAUCUUAAAAUCUUCUAUUUCUGGAGGAGGUUGUAAGCUGCUAUGAGCAAGCUUUUCUUUACCUUUACUCUUAGUAGGUAGUAAAGAUAUAAUCUUAUCCAUUUUAUCAUGUAACGAAAUAAUAUGAUCACCCAAAAUACUCAUAUAUAUAUUAGCAUAAUUAUUUUACUUAAUCAUGGCAUUAACAUGUUGUAUAGUAACCAGCGCAGUAUCAUUUUCAAAUAAUUUUGAAAAAGCAUUAAAAUUAACAACUUUAUCAUUUUUAGUAAUAUGAAAAGAUUGUAAUGGAGGGAAAACAGCAGUAGUAAUUUCUCCAAUACAUAAAGUGUAAUCUCUUUCUAUCAUCGAGAGGUAGUUAUGAACAUGUUUACAUAUAAACCAGGGAACAAAAGGAACUAAUUUAUUAAUUUUUGAAUCCACCAUAUCUUUAUAAAAUUCUUCUUGGAAUUCAUAUUGAUCUUUUCUAUCAAAAUUCUUGAAAAACCAUUUUCUAAAUAGUUUCCAUUUUUUCCUUUGAAAAUCUUUAGCUAUUUUAGCUCUUGCCGAAGAACCCGG